GCCAACAACAGCUGCCGAUUUGACUCGAAUAGCGGACGGCUUCAGGGACAGCUGGAAUUUCCCCAAUACUCUUGGUGCUAUUGAUGGCUCUAGUGGAUUCUGACUACAAUUAAGUUCGUCUGGGCUGACAUUGGAGGCCGUGGUGCUGCAUGGUUUGAAAUAAGAUGCGUUGAUUAUAAGCAGCCGCACAUGUAGAUGUGUAAGUGAGAGGAUUGAAGGAAGAGAUGUUCGAUUCCCUAAAUCGAUACCUGUAAAGGCUAUCCAUCACACAGAUUGUUUUGGAGUUGAUCAUACUGAUGUUGCUCAACAUUAAAGAACCCCCGUUAAAACCUGAACUGUCGUCGUUGUUUGGAAAAACACGUAGAGUUACAAAUGGCGCCCAACGGGUUCGUUGACAAGUCGAGUCUGCAGAGAGUCGGUGUAAAGGAGCGGGUCGUGUUCGUGAAACAGCUGUUGACAUUGUUAUAGUGCUAGCAAACAUUAGACUAGGAUUCAACCACUUCAGACGUUUCAUUCAGGAUCGCAGUUUUAAUUUUUUCUGAUUUGGACACAUCAGAAAUACAUACUUUUAAGUGCUUUUAAAUCAGUUUAAAACCAUUCUAGUGGCAGAAUAAUCAAUUGUGUAUUGAUCAUGAAACUUCAUAGGUACAUUGAUCAUGACUGGCAGAUGACCCCCAUUGAUUUUCAGGUCACUAGGUCAAAGGCCAAGGUCACUGACUCGAAAUAUUAUAGUAAAAUGGUUUCCGUGUGAUAACUUAAGAGUGCUUACGCCUAGGAUCAUGAAACUUCAUUGGUACAUUGAUCAUGACUGGUAAAUGACCCUUAUUGAUUUUCAGGUCACAAGGUCAAAGGUCAAGGUCACAGUGACACUAAGCAGUAAAAUGGUUUCCGGAUGAUAUCUCAAGAAUGCUAACGCCUAGGAUCAUGAAACUUCAUAGGAACAUUGAUCAUGACUGGCAGAUGAUCCCUAUUGAUUUUCAGGUCACUUGGUCAAAGGUCUAAGCCACAGUGACUCGAAACAGUAAAAUGGUUUCCUGAUGAUAACUGAAGAAUUAUUAGGCCUAGGAUCAUGAAACUUCAUAGGUACAUUGAUCAUCACUGGCAGAUGACCCCUAUUGAUUUUCAGGUCACUAGGUAAAAGGUCAAGGUCACAGUUACUAUAACGCAUUCACACAAUGGCUGCCACUACAACUGACACCCAUAUGGGGGCAUGCAUGUUUUACAAACAGCCCUUGUUUUGAUGUUUGAAUUUAAGCAUUUGCUGGAACACUUAUUUCUAUUGAUAAGGCUGUGUUAUACCAUUUUUG